rnacentral:rRNA from 1 species
AGCGAACGCUGGCGGCAUGCCUAACACAUGCCAGUCGAACGAGACCUUCGGGUCUAGUGGCGCACGGGUGCGUAACGCGUGGGAACCUGCCCUUAGGUUCGGAAUAACUCCCCGAAAGGGGUGCUAAUACCGGAUAAUGUCUUCGGCCCAAAGAUUUAUCGCCUUUGGAUGGGCCCGCGUUGGAUUAGCUAGUUGGUAGGGUAAAAGCCUACCAAGGCGACGAUCCAUAGCUGGUCUGAGAGGAUGAUCAGCCACACUGGGACUGAGACACGGCCCAGACUCCUACGGGAGGCAGCAGUGGGGAAUAUUGGACAAUGGGCGAAAGCCUGAUCCAGCAAUGCCGCGUGAGUGAUGAAGGCCUUAGGGUUGUAAAGCUCUUUUACCCGGGAUGAUAAUGACAGUACCGGGAGAAUAAGCUCCGGCUAACUCCGUG